CGCGUAGGCGGAUUAGAAAGUUGGGGGGUGAAAUCCCAGGGCUCAACCCUGGAACUGCCUCCAAAACUACUAGUCUAGAGUUCGAGAGAGGUGAGUGGAAUUCCGAGUGUAGAGGUGAAAUUCGUAGAUAUUCGGAGGAACACCAGUGGCGAAGGCGGCUCACUGGCUCGAUACUGACGCUGAGGUGCGAAAGUGUGGGGAGCAAACA
rnacentral:rRNA from 1 species